UAAGUUAGGUGUGAAAUCGUGAGGCUCAACCUCGCGGCUAUACCUAAACUAGCAAACUUGAGCAUGUGAGAGGUACCUGGAAUUCCUGGUGUAGGAGUGAAAUCCGUAGAUAUCAGGAGGAACACCAAUGGCGUAGGCAGGGUACUGGCACAUUGCUGACACUGAGGCACGAAAGCGUGGGUAGCGAACGGGAUUAGAUACCCCGGUAGUCCACGCCGUAAACGAUGAAUGCUA
rnacentral:rRNA from 1 species